UCAAGCUACAAAGAGCGCAAGGGGAAUGCCUUGGCACUGGGAGCCGACGAAGGACGUAGCGAUCUACGAUAAGCCACGGUGAGCCGAAAGCAGGCAUCGACCCGUGGAUUUCCGAAUGGGGCAACCUGGCUGAAUAGAACUCAGUCAACAUACGGUGAAUAAAAUAGUCGUAUGUAGGGAACCGCCUGAACUGAAACAUCUAAGUAGGGCGAGGAAAAGAAAUCAACCGAGAUUCCGCAAGUAGUGGCGAGCGAACGCGGAAGAGGCCAAACCGAGAGUAGUAAUACUUUCGGGGUUCGGACAGAAUACGGCAUUGUAAAGGUUUAGUGGAAUGGAAUGGGAAGUCCAACCGAAGAAGGUGAGAGUCCUGUACACGAAAAGCCUGAACAGCCAUCUGUAUCCAGAGUACCGCCGGACACGUGAAACCCGGUGGGAAUAUGGGGGGACCAUCCUCCAAGCCUAAAUACUACCCAGUGACCGAUAGCGUAUAGUACUGUGAAGGAAAGGUGAAAAGAACCCCGGGAGGGGAGUGAAAAGAACCUGAAACCUUGUGCUUACAAGCACACAAAGCACGUCAACGUGUGAUGUGGUACCUUUUGUAGAAUGGUCCGGCGAGUGAAUGUAACUGGCGAGGUUAAGUUCUUAAGGAACGGAGCCGAAGCGAAAGCAAGUCUGAAUAGGGCGUCUUAGUCAGUUGUAUUCGACCCGAAACCGGGUGACCUAUCCAUGUCCAGGAUGAAGUUAAGGUAAAACUUGAUGGAGGUCCGAACCCACGGUCGUUGAAAUGCCCGGGGAUGAGAUGUGGAUAGCGGAGAAAUUCCAAUCGAACCCGGAUAUAGCUGGUUCUCUCCGAAAUAGCUUUAGGGCUAGCCUCGACUGAACAUUACCGGAGGUAGAGCACUGAAUGGGCUAGGGGCCGAGAGGUUACUGAACCCUAUCAAACUUCAAAUGCCGGAAAAUGAUAGUCGGGAGUCAGACUGCGUGAGAUAAGUUUCGUAGUCGAAAGGGAAACAGCCCAGACCCACAGCUAAGGUCCCAAAGUACGGUUAAGUGGAAAAGGAUGUGGAGUUGCACAGACAACCAGGAUGUUGGCUUAGAAGCAGCCACUCAUUAAAAGAGUGCGUAAUAGCUCACUGGUCGAGUGACUCUGCGCCGAAAAUUUAACGGGGCUAAAUCGUACACCGAAGCUUGGGAUGUAUCUAUGAUACAUGGUAGGAGAGCGUUGAAUGCGGGGUGAAGUCAGAGCGAAAGCGCUGGUGGACUGCAUUGAAGUGAGAAUGCCGGAAUGAGUAGCGAGAUUUAUGUGAGAAUCAUAAAGGCCGAAAGACUAAGGUUUCAGAAGGAAGGUUCGUCCGCUUCUGGUUAGCCGGGAGCUAAGGUGAGGCCGAAAGGCGUAGCCGAUGCACAUACGGUGGAGAUUCCGUAGCCGUCGAAAUAUUUAAGCAAAGGGACACUUAUGAAGGACAUGACCCGGGCGAUGGUAGCCCCGGGCGUAAGGGACUGAAAACAAGUAGGGAAGCAUGUUUGGAUUAAGGCGAGAAAAGCUUUGUGUAUAUAUGAGACGUCCGUACCGCAAACCGACACAGGUAGUCAGGAAGAGGAUUCUAAGGCCAACGGGAGAAGGGUAGUUAAGGAACUCGGCAAAUUGACCCCGUAACUUCGGGAUAAGGGGCGGUGCGUAAGCACCCGCAGUGAAUAGGUCCAGGCGACUGUUUAUCAAAAACACAGCUCUCUGCUAAAUCGAAAGAUGACGUAUAGGGGGUGACACCUGCCCGGUGCUGGAAGGUUAAGAGGAGGAGUGCAAGCUCCGAAUUGAAGCCCCAGUAAACGGCGGCCGUAACUAUAACGGUCCUAAGGUAGCGAAAUUCCUUGUCGGGUAAGUUCCGACCCGCACGAAUGGUGUAACGAUCUGGACGCUGUCUCAACUGCCCACCCGGCGAAAUUGUAGUACCGGUGAAGAUGCCGGUUACCCGCGGCAAGACGGAAAGACCCCAUGGAGCUUUACUGUAACUUGAUAUUGGGUCUUGGUAUUCUAUGUACAGGAUAGGCGGGAGACUAUGAAACAUACACGCCAGUGUAUGCGGAGUCACCCUUGGGAUACCGCUCUUAGAGUACUGAGAUUCUAACCUGCGGCCGUGAAUCCGGUCGGGGGACAUUGUCAGGUGGGCAGUUUG
rnacentral:rRNA from 1 species